CACGUAGGGCGCAAGCGUUGUCCGGAAUUAUUGGGCGUAAAGAGCUCGUAGGCGGACUGUCACGUCUGCUGUGAAAAGCUGGGGCUUAACCCUGGCCUUGCAGUGGAUACGGGCAGACUAGAGGUAGGUAGGGGAGACUGGAAUUCCUGGUGUAGCGGUGAAAUGCGCAGAUAUCAGGAGGAACACCAAUGGCGAAGGCAGCUCGCUGGGACGGUACUGACGCUGAGACGCGAAAGCGUGGGGAGCAAACAGG
rnacentral:rRNA from 1 species